rnacentral:rRNA from 1 species
UACGUAGGGUCCGAGCGUUGUCCGGAAUUAUUGGGCGUAAAGGGCUCGUAGGCGGUUCGUCACGUCGGGAGUGAAAACUCGGAGCUUAACUCCGAGCCUGCUUCCGAUACGGGCAGACUAGAGGUAGGCAGGGGAGAGCGGAACUCCUGGUGUAGCGGUGGAAUGCGCAGAUAUCAGGAGGAACACCCGUAGCGAAGGCGGCACUCU